UACGGGGGGUGCGAGCGUUUGUCCGGAAUCACUGGGCGUAAAGGGCGCGUAGGUGGUUUGAUAAGGGUGUGGUGAAAGUCCGGGGCUCAACCCCGGAUCUGCCGUGCCGACUGUCAAACUCGAGGGCUGUAGAGGCAGGCGGAAUUCCGGGUGUAGCGGUGGAAUGCGUAGAGAUCCGGAGGAACACCAGCGGCGAAGGCGGCAUCCUGGACUGGUACUGACGCUCAUGAGCGAAAGCGUGGGGAGCGAGUCCGG
rnacentral:rRNA from 1 species